rnacentral:rRNA from 1 species
CAGUAGCCACGGUAAUACGUAGGUGGCAAGCGUUGUCCGGAAUUAUUGGGCGUAAAGGGCUCGCAGGCGGUUUCUUAAGUCUGAUGUGAAAGCCCCCGGCUCAACCGGGGAGGGUCAUUGGAAACUGGGAAACAUGAGUGCAGAAGAGGAGAGUGGAAUUCCACGUGUAGCGGUGAAAUGCGUAGAGAUGUGGAGGAACACCAGUGGCGAAGGCGACUCUCUGGUCUGUAACUGACGCUGAGGAGCGAAAGCGUGGGGAGCGAACAGGAUUAGAUCCCCGGUAGUCCCUGUCUCUUAUACA